rnacentral:rRNA from 1 species
CCCUUAGAUGUUCUGGGCCGCACGCGUGCUACACUGAUGCAUUCAACGAGUCUAAAACCUGGUCUGAUAGGGCUGGGUAAUCUUUUGAAAGUGCAUCGUGAUUGGGAUAGAUGAUUGCAAUUCUUCAUCUUCAACGAGGAAUGCCUAGUAAACGCAAGUCAUCAGCUUGCGUUGAUUACGUCCCUGCCCUUUGUACACACCGCCCGUCGCUCCUACCGAUUGAAUGGUCCGGUGAAGCGUUCGGACCGUGGCCUUUGGACGGUUCGCCGUCUGUUGGCUGCGGGAAGUUCGUUAAACCUUAUCAUUUAGAGGAAGGAGAAGUCGUAACA